AUUGAACGCUGGCGGCAGGCCUAACACAUGCAAGUCGAACGAGUGGCGGACGGGUGAGUAAUGUCUGGGAAACUGCCUGAUGGAGGGGGAUAACUACUGGAAACGGUAGCUAAUACCGCAUAACAUCAGAUGUGCCCAGAUGGGAUUAGCGAGUUGGUGGGGUAAAGGCUCACCAAGGCGACGAUCCCUAGCUGGUCUGAGAGGAUGACCAGCCACACUGGAACUGAGACACGGUCCAGACUCCUACGGGAGGCAGCAGUGGGGAAUAUUGCACAAUGGGCGAAAGCCUGAUGCAGCCAUGCCGCGUGUAUGAAGAAGGCUUUCGGGUUGUAAAGUACUUUCAGCGGGGAGGCGGUACCCGCAGAAGAAGCACCGGCUAACUCCGUGCCAGCAGCCGCGGUAAUAC
rnacentral:rRNA from 1 species